GCCUAUUCUAAAUAUCUUUCCUCUCUUUGUGCCGCUUGCUCAUUCUUGCGGAGCCAUUGUUUCCUUUCAACACAAAGCUUUGAAUGAUUUCUCCAGUAACCUCAGACCAUUUACGCCCAGCAAAGAUGGAGCUUAGUCUUGAAAGUGUGUUCUAAAGUUAUUGUGUGAGAUCGUAUGAAAGGAUUGUUGGUGUUCUUACAUAGGAAACGCUCUCUAUGUUCUAAGGUAUGAAGCUUACAUUUAAUAUGUCUCUCAUUUUUCUUGAUUUUGGUGUCUCUGCAUAUUGUUUGCAUCAGACGUUUUAGGUUGAGCUUUAGUGGUGGAGUAGUAGUUCUAUUCUAAAUUAUUGCCUUUAAGCCGUCAUGCUAUGUAGAUCAGGUGAACCUCAACGGGGAUCCUGUUUUUUCUCGUGACAUAUUUCUUUUUUCAAGGCGGUUUUUUUUUAUCUCAAUCUGGCCAUUUAAAUCUACUGAUUGUUGAACCCAAAAAAAAAAUGUUGAUUGUGUUCGCCAUGUCCUUAUGCACUCUAAGCUAGCAUAUUAUUAUGUGUUAAUUAUUGUCACUGUCUUAUUGGUUCUGCAUGAUUA